GCUCGCUUUGGCUGCGCAUAUGCUAAAAUUGGAAUGAUACAGAGAAGGUUAUCAUGGCCCCUGUGAAAGGAUGACACGCAAAUUCCUGAAGUGCUCUAUAUUUCU